GGCAAAGCUCUCUUCAGAUUAAAGCUGCUAUUUAUAGCAGGAAGACAGGCAAUGACCACAGUGUAGAGGACUUUACUCUGAGGGUGAGGCACUUGGAUUUAGUUCACCCUGGGUAGAACUGCUCCUCCUUCUCUAUGUCCAACACCCAACUCCAUUGAACAGGUCCAAAACCGUAUCAGCUGUUUUCUGCCUCUCUGCUAAACCACCACAACUGCCAUUGGGGGGACCAUCUAGGAGAAUCAUCUGCUCACAGUGAAGGAUAUUCAUAUCGAUCAAAGUACUGGACUUAUUUGUAUUUAGUGUUGGAAAAGAGAUCUCUGCCAGGAAGACCGAAUAUAGGAUCUAAAAUAAUCAUCAAUCACGCACAGGCCCACAGCCAAGCCAUUGAGAGACAAACCAAUGGGAAACAAAUUAGCUCAUGUACCUCAUGUGCUCCUGGAGCUUUCCCACAGUACCCCUUGGCCAGUGCUUGGACAAGGAUGACUGAAAUAAAGUCAAAGCAAACAUUUCUGUAAUCAUGUAAGUAAUAUCUAUUCCUGUUUUAUUUCCACAGAUUGAACUAUUUAGUCAUAAUGAUGUAUGUUGCCUAAUGAUUAAUGAUAGAAAAUCAGG
rnacentral:lncRNA from 1 species